rnacentral:lncRNA from 1 species
AUAUUGAAGAAGAAAAGCUGAAUAAACAGAGCAAUAAGAAAAAACAAUCACCACCCAAUUGGAUGUUUGAAGAUGAAGAUUCUGAUUUGGUUUCAGACUUCAAAGAUCUACCAAUCAGGUUUCAGAAAUCAUUGAUCCCGGACCUGGAACGAAUCUCAACAACUUCAAAGUCUUACUUCACAAGAGCCAACAAGGAAUUCACAAAAGGAUUCAAACCUUACGUUGGUAACAAAUACGCACCCACCAUUGCAACUUUGCUAUCAUGUGCAUUCGUUCUGAUCCCAUUGCUUUUAGCUUCUCUUGUUUUGAACAAGAUCAAAGCCUAUUUCUCACUUCAGAAGCUCUUGCUCUUCAUCCAAGCUUACCUCUCUAUCUACUUCUCAAUCCUC